GGCAAGCAAAACAAAACAUGCAUUCACGGGAGCAGCGCCAUUCGAGAGCACGCACUUCCCAGUUAAAAUGAAGGACACAGCCAGUUCCCAAACACCUGUGAGUACAGGCUUGGAGAAAGCAGCUCUGGAAAGUGCUGGUAGCUGUUCCAGGUACUGUGCAAGGAGGGGAGAAACGAGUAAUACUGUUGAGAAUGCCUAAUCCAUGACAAAUGCCAAAUGAGACAUGAAGUCCUGGGAAGCAGUCCAGUCAGAGCCCUGAGCUGAAGUUGAGAAAACAAAGCCUGCAUUCCCAGAUCUGCCCCUGAUUUUGGGUAGACUGCUACCGAGCGGCACAGUCUA